GGGUAAUCCUCAGAGCAACGGAGGAUUCACACAUAGACUGAGCAUGCGCUGUUGUCCACACGACAUGACGGAACUGUGUGGUCCUUUGUGAUGAAUGCAGAGCAACGGAGGAUUCACACAUAGACUGAGCAUGCGCUGUUGUCCACACGACAUGACGGAACUGUGUGGUCCUUUGU